rnacentral:lncRNA from 1 species
CUAGAAAUAGGGGAAUACGUUAAAAGACCAAACCUACAAUUGACUGGAGUACCUGAAAGAGACAGGAAGAAUAGAAUGAACACACUUCAGGAUAUUAUCCAGGAGAACUUCCUUAAUCUAGCAAGACAGGCCAACAUUCAAAUUCGGGAAAGACAAAGAACAGCACUAAGAUACUCCACAAGAAGAUCAACCCCAAGACACACUAUGAAGAAACGGCAUCAACUAGCGUGCAAAAUAACCAGCUAGCAUUAUGAUGAUGGAUCAAAUUCACACAUAACAAUAUUAACCUUAAAUGUAAAUGGGCUAAAUGCCCCAGUUAAAAGACACAGGCUAGCAAAUUGGAAAAAGAGUCAAGCACCAUUGGUGUGCUGUGUUCAGGAGACCCAUCUCACGUGCAAAGACAUACAUAGGCUCAAAAUAAAGGGAUGGAGGAAAAUUUACCAAGCAAAUGGAAAGCCAAAAAAAAAAAAAAAGAAAAAGAAAAAAAAAAGCAGGAGUUUCAAUCCUAGGCUCUGAUAAAACAGACUUUAAACAAACAGAGAUCAAAAGAGACAAAGAAGGGCAUUUAAGGGAUCGAUGCAACAAGAAGAGCUAUUUUAAAUAUAUAUGCACCCAAUUCAGAAGCACCCAGAUUCAUAAAACAAGUUCUUAGAGAUCUACAAAGAGACUUAGACUCCCUCACAAUAAUAGUGGGAGACUUUAACACCCCACUGUUAAUAUUAGACAGAUCAACAAGACAGAAAAUUAACAAGGAUAUUCAGGACUUGAACCCAGUUCUGGAUCAAGUGGACCUAAUAGACAUCUAUAGAACUCUCCACCCCAAAUCA